CACGUAGGGUGCGAGCGUUGUCCGGAAUUAUUGGGCGUAAAGAGCUCGUAGGCGGUGUGUCGCGUCGGCCGUGAAAACCUGCAGCUUAACUGUGGGCGUGCGGUCGAUACGGGCAUCACUGGAGUUCGGCAGGGGAGACUGGAAUUCCUGGUGUAGCGGUGAAAUGCGCAGAUAUCAGGAGGAACACCGGUGGCGAAGGCGGGUCUCUGGGCCGAUACUGACGCUGAGGUGCGAAGGCGUGGGGAGCAAACAGG
rnacentral:rRNA from 1 species